GGGCAUGGCCCUGCGUUUGGGUGUGUUCUGAUGAAGGAUUUCCUGCAUGCCCUCGCAACUCGUCUGAAGAAGAACACUGCUGCGUAUGAGAACUUCCGUCGCAUUUAUGUACCUCCUGGCGAGCCACUCGCGUCUGAACCUGGAGAGCCAUUGAGAGUGAACAUACUCUUCAAGCAUAUUCAGGCAAUGCUGUCUGGCAACACGGCUGUCAUUGCAGAGACUGGGGACUCGUGGUUUAACUGCCAGAAGCUGAAGCUACCAGAAGGCUGUGGGUAAGCUCCUCUUCGAAUCACGAUUUGGCUGUGGAAUUUCAUUGUGAUACAAAAUUCAUCUGUCAUUUUCUUCUGUACUGUUGGUUGCUGGGUGGUGAGUGGUACCGCUGAUUUAGGCCAAGUAAGAUAAAAAUCUGAUGGAAUGUUGUUCUGAUUCUUUUACACCACUAGAUAUUCAAUGUUGUCAGCCUCUUUACCAUAAAGAAACAUUUCAUAUUAUAUAGUAGUGACAUCAAACUUUGGUUCAGCAUGUUGAGAUACUUUCAGUCAUGAGUUAACCAGGAGUUCUUUGCUUUCACCAGGUACGAAUUCCAGAUGCAGUAUGGAUCAAUUGGCUGGGCAGUGGGUGCAACUCUAGGAUACGCACAGGCUGCUAAGGAUAAACGUGUCAUUGCCUGCAUUGGAGAUGGCAGCUUCCAGGUAUGAUACCAAUUACCAAACGAUGGAAGUUCUUACAUUUUCAUAUCAAUUCAGUUCCUUGAAAAUACAGUAUGUGGCAAGAGUUUAAUUUGACUGUAAUUCAGGUAACGGCACAAGAAGUGUCAACGAUGCUCCGAUGGGAGCAGAACACCAUCAUAUUUCUGAUAAACAAUGGAGGAUACACAAUCGAGGUGGAGAUUCACGAUGGUCCUUAUAACGUUAUCAAGAACUGGAACUACACUGGUUUGGUGGAGGCAUUCCACAAUGGAGAGGGCAAGUGCUACACAGCAAAGGUUCGUAACUGUAUGUUGUAGUACUGCAAUUCUGCGCUCACGAAUGCCAGCUGCAACUGACAUUUUUUUCGCAUUCUCUGCUCGCAGGUUCGAACUGAGGAGGAGCUGAAGGAGGCACUGAAGGCAGCUCUGGGACCCAAGAAGGACUGCUUAUGCUUCAUUGAGGUCAUCGUGCAUAAGGAUGACACCAGCAGAGAGCUUCUCGAGUGGGGAUCUAGGGUUUCUGCGGCAAAUAGCCGUCCACCGAAUCCUCAGUGAGUGCAUCAGGUCUCCUGAAUUGCGCUGUAAAUCAAUCCUCUUUCUGGUGAUGUCCAUAUCAAGAAGACUCGGGGAUUUCUGAAUAAUUUUUUUUGUUUUGUUUUUCACUGUCAUUUCUGAAUAAUUUCUCCCUGUAAUUCACUGAUGUUGCAAGCCCUUGUUGCUACUUCACAUAGAUGAUUUCAGAAACUGAUCUUGUAUAGCUGUAUUACUGCCAAUAAAUCUGAAAUCAUUUUUUUUUGUUCUUCGUUCUGGCACUUUGUAAAUUCUCUUCUGUUAGAGCUCCUGCCCUGGUGUCAUGCAUAAGUUUCAGCCUAUUCUUUCAAGUCUGGCCAUAAGAGCUCUCUCUUACCAAGAUCUAAAAUCUUUAGCAAUUGUAAAUGGAAGAAAGUAGUUUCAGUAAACGAAGGAAAUACAUUUCUUGAGUUAGUCCAACACGUGCACUUCGUAUAUCAAGCACUCUCUGUUAUCAACUAAGUGCAUUGCUCGUUGUAAAGGCCAAAAGGGGAACAACUAUUAGGUUAGGCAGAUCAACUUUGAAACCGAAGACAUGAAAUUGCAGUAGCUGAAGGAGCAGUAACCCUUUCCGAUUGGUCCCGGCAUAUAAACAAUUUUCUCAAAAGAAGUGAAAGUAACAUCGUUAAGAAAGCAAAUUCUGGUCUUUGAAAGAAAGCAAUUUUUCUCAACCCGGCAACUGCCCAUAGUUUUAUUAAAAAAAAGAGUCACAGUUAUGAGCAGUUUUUAAAAAAGACAUUACGAACAAGUUUAUGCAUGAUAAAGCCCAUUUGCACAGAAGAAUAUUAGUUGGUUAUGUGCUAGUUCCAUGUGACACCUGAGCCAGAAAUUGUAGCAAGUUUUUCUUCUUCUCUGUAACCUUGUUAUUUUUUCAUUAUGCUUCAUAUCAUUUUCCUGAAGAACAAAUUUAUCUUUCAUAUAUUUUUUUAUUAGGAAGCAGGAGGACGGGAUACCCCUACUGGAAUUGCAUUAGGGUAGAAAAAGUCUGAAAGCUCUGGAAACCCAAAUGCUCAGACAACAGAUAGAGCAAAAGGCAGAGUAUAUUCUAGACAGGGAGCCAAUCAAAACUCAAAAGGUGUCACGGUCUUUUCACCCAAACCCUGAAAUGUCAAGCCAAUCAUCUGACUUAGGAGGCAGCAUUUCUGCAUGCAUCCAUAUGAUACAGUCACCCACACUGGUCUACAGCACACCCCAUGCAAACCCUGGUCCCCGGGCCAUGCCCAUGUGAUUUUACAGACUAUUUCAGCACUAGCAACAGUUCACGGUCCAAAUCAAACCACACACAGUAAAACAAACCAUUUUGGGCACACACAAAACACAAUUAGCACUCACUCUUGACCUGAAGAUUCUCCUACCAUCUCUUACAGGCUCUGACAGUUCAGGAACUGGAUAUACAUAUACUAAUAUAGCAUUCUCUAUAUGGACAUGAUGGAGUAAUGUGAUUCAAGAAUCCUCUGCCGCUUGCUCUGAAAGGGACUACUACUCCCGUAUGCCGUUUCUGGGGAAGCAACCCUGGCUAGCGCCUGCCUGACAGCCUCCUUCAGAGACCUGAGGCUUGCACUUGCUGCACCUACACCUGCACCACCCCAGCCCUCCUCUUUGCACAGUACGAACACAUGCUGCACCCUUCCUCCUAACGAGGUCAUGUCGGCCCUCACCGUCCUCAGCCUCAGGCCAUGGAACGCCUGGGCCAGCCCGGCGACGAGGUCCGGCCGGUCGUCGCAGCUGAUCGAGGCCUUUAUGUAGAUGACCUUGUCGGCGCCGGCGCCGGUGUGGAGCUCGAUGGAGACCUCGUCGGUCUCCGGGGGCAGGGGCACGCUCUGGGUGGUGGCCUCGCUUGCGUUCCUCUUCAGGAGCUUCACUUGCUCUACCACUCUGGCAAGCAAGGUGGCCUUGUCCAUCUGCAGCAGUGCAGGGAGAGUGUAAAAUUGAAACCUUUGCUUAGACGUCAUAAGCAUUGUGCUUUGUUUGUCUUGUUAUAGAGAACUCCAAAGUCCAAAGUGGAAAGCAUGAUGAAAUGUGAACAAAUGUGAGUGCAAAGGUUCCAUUCAUAUGGCUUUCUUGCAAACCUCAAACUUAUCCAUAAAUUAUUCCCAAAGGACAGACGUUUGACAGGGAGAUAUCUAACACUGAGAUUAUGGACCAUGGAAGGAUCACACAAGAAGAACUAACGUGGUAAAAUCUCUGAAAUUGCUCAGGUAGUGUUUCAGAAAUCUUGCUAAAUGAUUCACACAAGUGAACCAUUGAGGUGGAAGGAUCAAACCACAAACCUGCCUAGUAUCAGGAAUCAUCCUCCUGAGCGUAGCCAGAUGAGCAUUGAUCCUCUCCCGGCGCCGCCGCUCGGCCUCGCUGUGGAUCUUCAGCGCCCUCGCCUCCGUUGUGCUCCUCCCCGACCCCGACGACGACGACAUCUCCGGCGGCGCUACCCUCACGGCCCGUGGAGCCGAGCUUGCCUGCCGAGGAAGAAGCACUGGCUGCAGCUCCUUCCCUUGCAGAGGCUGGCAUGCAGCCAUUCAACCAGACAUCACCAAAGUGCCUCACCUUUAGGUCCUUUUCACUGGAACAAAGAGGCCCAACAAAGAGGUUGACUGAAUAUUUGAACAGCAUCAACAGAGACUGCAAAUUGGAAGAACUGAUGCAGCAAGCAUAAGGAUCAGAAUAACAGAAGAUGAGAUGCAGCAAACCAGCAAGCAGAGAAAGAGAGUACUGAGUACCUGAUGUUGCUUGCAAUAAGUGGUGCAACAACGUCUUGUCAUCUCAUUCUCUGGAAUGAGUGAUGAUAUGCAUAUGCUUGUGUGCUAGAUGUGAUCAUCUUCUUAUGAUAUGAGUGAUGAUAGGUAGGGGCGUACUGCGGUGUGCAGUGUACUCUGCUUUUUUACUGGCCAACCACUCUACAUAUAUAUAUCUUGGUAUUCCUCUCUCCACAUGUGUUCCCACUAGGAAGAUGGAUGAGGUAUGCAUGCAUGAGUGUGCCAUGAGUAGGAUAUGAAGAAAAAGCCUGCCAAAUGGAGGGUUUUCAAGAGCCGCCUAACAAGUUUCAGUUCUGGUGACAAGGAUUCACAUGACUUCAGACUGUAGUCAUAUCAUCAUAUGUUUGGUAACUCAGGCCUUGUUUACUUCCCAAAAUUUUUCAAGAUUCUCUGUCACAUCAAAUCUUGCGGUACAUGCAUGAAGUACUAAAUAUAGAUAAAAAGAUACCUAAUUGCAUGGUUUAUCUAUAAUUUGCGAGACGAAUCUUUUAAGCCUAGUUAGUCUAUAAUUAAAUAAUAAUUGUCAAAUAAAGCCAAAAAUGUUACAGUAGCGAAAUCUAAAAUUUUUCGCGAACUAAACAAGGCCUCAAGUAAAGAUUCUUUUCACUGCUGUUAGGUGGACUGAAAAUCUUGAAAUAUGCUUGGAAGUUAGUUGGAAGGAAGCAGAUGAGGAGUCUAUUAGUAGUAACUUUUUUUUUCAUCUAUCUAAUCUAACCUGCCAAAAACUUCUGAAAGUAUGGAAGACAGACAGAUCACGAGAUUCCUCUUCUGGAAUUGGGCAGCCAUGGAAGAAAGUCUUCGCAAUCCAUUGACUAGUGUUCCAUGCUCUGCCCCACGAGUGAGAGAGACGGACAGGGACACGAUUAAAUGACUGCUCAUGAACCGUACUAUGCUCCAAUAGUUUCAGUCUUGGCAUUUAGCUGCAAGCACGCUCCUUAACAAGCAACAUCAGGAGAGGUCUCUGCAUCCUUUCAGACUGACUGGCUGACUUGCCUAGCUUGCUUUCUGCAUAUGAUUAGUUUCGAGUUUCACCAAUCAACGCUCUCAUCAGAAAUUCAGAAUGCAUUGAUUCUGUGUCCUAUGCGGUCUGAGGAUCAGACAGUCGAAACCAAACACUGUUUACUCGAACUUAUCCCCUGAUAAACACUGAUCUCUGUCGUCUUGUGCUGCCUAAUUGUUUGUUUGCCCCCUGAAAACAUGUGACACCAGAAUUCAGAACCAGCACGGCUUCGUGGCUACUUGCAGAGCAUUUUAUUCAGACUGUUUAGAGAUCUGGCGCGGAGCAAUUGAAAUGGUUUAGCCUUUGACCAGUGAACAAGGAUAUGGACGAGGCCAAAACUGUGCAGGAUUUAAUAGAGAGAGACGGUUCCCUCGGACUCCUUCCUUGGUAUACUACGCCAUGCUCUGCAUGUGGACCUGCUGCAGGUCGACAAGCUGCCCAAGAAACCGUGGAGACGACUGUUUCAGAGACGGAAAUGACAAACGCCAUAGUAUGAUUUGUUUGUCCUUGUGUCUCGGCCUGCGUUUAGGCAUCUGAAAUUCAUGUGUCCUUUACCGUGGCAACCAUUGUCAUUAACUGAUUCGUGAAGAAAUCUAAUUUAGUAUUCGCCCAGGCCAUGCUAAACUUUAUCCGACUGUUGUGACUUCUAAGAUGUUUUGAUCUAGAGAAAAUUCCUUGUAUGACAUUAAAAAAUUACACAUACCAUUUAAAAUUAUAUCUUACCUUUGUUAUCAUCAGCUUUAAUUUUUCUUCCCUUAUUAUGUGCCACUAUUAUCAAUUUGCAUCCACAUAAUUCUUAAGCGGAAGUGGAAAAGACAAUUUUACCCUUAUAACAUAUGGAAGUAUUUUUUUUCUGGCCUAUCAAUCCUUCCAUGACAUUGAACUCAGGAAUAGAUAUGCAUAUAUUGGUGUCCCAGAUUUUUGUUUGCACAACAUUCAAUAUUUGAAAAAAAAUGUAAAAUUGAUGGCGCUGGCAUACAACAAAGGAAAGUUAUAAUUUUCAAUGGUAUACUCCCUUCUCCCACAAAAGAAUGCAAUACUCGUUUUUCGAGAAGUCAAACAAUUUGAAUUUUGACUAAAUUUAUAUAAAAAUAUACUAACAUUCAUUAAACAAAAUAAAUAUCAUUAGAUUAGUUAUAGAAUAUAUUUUUAUAAUAAAUUUAUUUGAAAACAUAAAUGUUAAUACUAUUUACUAUAAAUUUUGUCAAACUUGAGUUAGUUGGACUGACACACAUCCCAUAGUUUCAUUUUUUUAUGGGCGGAGGAAGUAUGUAAGCAGCGGAAAAGUAUAAAAGAAUAGCAAGGAGGGGAAGUUAUAAUUUUCAAUAGCAUAGAAAUGUUGGGGCUUCGCGGAUGGUACCGAAUGAAUUUGCUCUUACAUUAUCUUAAUAUCGUAAAUCUAUUUCAUUUUAUACAUAUAUUAUAAUAGAAAAUCAUUGUUAGUAACACACCUUGAGAACCUAUAUAAAACUUUAAAAAAACAUCAAGUAUUUUUAUGGAGGGAGUAUAUAUAUACAACCAUUACAUGUAAAGUUGCGCAUUAUGCUACUCUUAAUGCAAUACGCGUCUAGACAUAGUCACGAAAAAAAAUGCUACUUUGGCUCUAUUUGGAGAGGAAGGUGUUCUUUUUAAAUUAGUUACAGUUUUGUGGAAAAGAAAUAUCAGAUACUGUAAUUAUGAGGUUCAGACAAAUCUUUUGAAGCGUAUGAGUUUAGAAGAAAAAAAUGUUCUUUUGCGUCUUUCAGAGCGUUCUUGCAACUCUUGUCUGUGCUACAACUACAAACUUCCUCUGAUCUGACUUGUACCCCCACAAAUACCUGCAUUCAAAAGGCCCGGAGUAUUUGUCUGCAAUGGUUAUCGGUUUUAAGCAACAUGGUGCAAACUGAAGCUGACAGUGACAGAGAUAUGUGAUAUUAAUAACUCAGAUUUGCUUGUGCACAGCACAGUGCAUAUCUAUCCAUGUCUACUUGUUUGGCUUGUUGUAGCCUUGGCUUUGUUGCUUAAGUUCAAACAAGGGGGCCAUGUAAUCUCCGAUCCAUGAUCUUUCCGGAUCCUUAGAAUCCUUUUGACGUUCUCUGUCUAUGGCGAUGAAAACUGCUGCUGCCUUCUGGUUUGGACGUGUUAGCUAGAUUCACUUUUCUUUUUUGACAUUCUUAACAGAGGAUUCCAAUGGUUCAACUUUUUAGUAAUCACAUGGAUAAAAAACACUGGGUGUACCUUUUACUGUUGUUUGAGACUAAGUACUACCAUCAUCAUUACGGCAUCUCUAAGAGAUUAGCUAAAUCAUUUUCUAAAAUUAAAUUUGAUUAUUGUUGAAGAAAAACGUUUCUAACAGACUGUAAAACGACUCUCCAAAUUUAGUAGCUCUCCAUCUUACCUUAUUACCUCACCAGCUAUUCUUUAGUCUGUUGGAGUACUCUAAUAUUUUUUAUCAAAUCUAUUCUAGAGAGUUGCUAAAUCUGAAAUUUAAUUAAUUUUUUUUACUAAUCUUUUGAAGAUGCUCUCACGGGAUGCAUAUACAAGUCUCUUGCAUAGCUAUUUCUUGCAAGAAGCCGAUCGGGUGGCCAGUCUUUUUUUUGUGAUCAUUAAGAGGAAUAAAACUGAAGUUUACAACCCAUCGGACUAAGUAAGGCGGCGAGAGUCCACCAGAACCCGGAAACUGACUAUCGGGUGGCCAAUCAAUUGGGCCGGGCCGGAGUUACGUGACGAGAUACUUCCAGGCUAGCCCAUUAGGCAUUAUUAGGCCCAUGCAUGUCGUCCAGUGCUGUACUACACUAGCGGGAGGAGGGAGCUCGCUCGGCCGACAGUGCCCUGGCCUCCACGUCGGCUGCAUGCAUGCAGUGCGUGCAGACGGUAACAUCCAUCCAUCGAAUUACCGCGACACGCAGGCAGCUACGUGCUCGCUCGCCGCGCGGUAAGCCCCUCAUCCUCCUCACACGCGUCCGGCCCGGCCGGCCGGGGGCAGGCGCGGUCGCCAGCAUGCAUGUCCGCCACGCUAACCCCCUUCUCGCACUCGCGGUAAAAGAUGACGAGGCUCGCUAGCUGUGUAUAUAUAAGUACGGCGCCGCUCGAGUCCACUCUGAACGGCAAGAGUGACCUGAGCUCGAUCGACGGCGGGUAGUAAAGUAGAUUAGCUUGAAGAGUUUGCUGUGUGCGCGCCAGCGAGCGAGCGUCCGGCCGGCCGGCUAGCCGCCGCCGGUGGUGGUGGGGAUAGCAAUGGCGGCGUCGCAGCAGGCGGAGAAGGCGGCGGAGCUGCAGGACCCCGAGAUCCGGGCGGCGCUGGACCGCCGCGUCCGCGAGGAAGGCGAGACCGUCAUCAAGAGCGGCACCGGCGGGACCAACCUCGAGGCUCAGGAGCGCCUCGCCGAAGGUAUUUUAUAUAUAUAUAUAUAUAUAUAUAUAUUCCCACGUGCACGCACGCAUGCAUGUUGGAUUCAUGCAUGCGUUCUUCCAUAUGUUUGACCGCGCGGUUCCAUGCAGGACGCAAGAAGGGAGGGCGCAGCCGCACGACGGAGUCCGGCAAGGAGCGCGCCGAGAAGGAGGGCGGCGUGGUCAUCGAGCCCGACGAGAAGCAGCUUCAGGAGGCCAUGAAGGACAUCGGCCGCAACUGAUCCGUCAUCAUGCAUGCAUAUAUAUCGUCGCUCCAGUCGUCCGUAUACGUCGUUGAUCAUCACCGUACGUAGUAGUAUACCACCAGGCCGCCGGUACAAGUUGUUGACCACGCCGUGGGCCUAGUAGUGGAGUAUAUAUAUAGUAUGUAAUAAUACACGUACGUCCGUACCUCGUCCGUGUAUGUGACCUUAGUUAUUAUUAGGUCGAUGUAGUUGUUGCUACAAGCAUAUAUACAUGCUGUAUGCUGUGCUACAAGCAUGCUCAAGCUUGUGUGCAACAGUACUACGAGUGCAGGCUACAAAGUUUUGGUCUUUGCAUUGUAGCCCCUUAGCCGUACGUAUGUGUGUGUAUAUUGUAAUUGCCACAAGGAAGCAUCCGCGUCGUGCUGCAAAAUUUUGGUGCCUGCGCAUGCAUGUCCAUGCAUGCCAGCAAGGUUUGCAGCACAGCUUUGCUUCAGCCCAAUAUAUAAAAUAAAACAACUUCGUCCUAUCUCUGCCAUUUUGGUUGUUGUCACUGUACUUAUAUAUCACAUUAACCAUGAGAAGUUGAGAGCCACAUACGGACACAUCAGUAUACAAUAGCCACAGAACUCGCGGAUCGAUGAUAUGCAACGCAAGAAACAUCAGUUGGCAAUUGGCAUGCACGCCCACACGGACUAUGAUGCGCAUCCAUCCAUCCAUGCAUCGAUCAGCCGCGGCACUUGAAGAUCUUGCUGCAGCCGCGGGUGUAUCCGUUGACAGGCUUCAUCGGGCGUUUGGCCUCGGGGCUCUGAUUCUUGUCGUCGCAGUUGCCCAGCGCCUUGCAGCUGAGCACCUUGUCAUACGACAAGUACUGCCCCUGAUCGGCGCCGGCGACCUCCUGCGGCACCGUCGACAGCAGCAGCAGGCACAGCACCGCCGCCGCCGCCAUGGCCAGCCUCGCCGUGUUGUUCGCCGCCGCCAUGCUGGGGGGCUAGCCUCGCUCCUCUCCUCUCCUCUCCUCUCCUCUUGCGGUGGAAAGAAAAUAUAUAUGAGGAGCUAGCUAGCUAGCUAGCUGGGGGGAGAGGUGCUUUUAUUUCUUGUAAUUAGUGUAAUGAUCGACCUGUGCAGUGCAGGUUUUGUAGAGGCUGCUUGUCUUAAGAUAUCUGUGGAUGAGAACAGAUGUAGGGCCUGGCGGCCUGCAUGUGCUAUGUUUAGAGAAACAACUCACGGGUCCUAUUCUGGGAAGCAGCAUCUAGGGAGUUUUCCUUGUUUAAGAAUGGGGAAAGAAGCUCGUGAUUCUUCUGUCGUCUGGGCCGGGUUUUCCCUUUCUGAGAUAGAUUAGCUAAUAAUGAUGAUAUCAUUCUCUUGUCCAACAGUACAAGUCAAAUAAAUGAUGCAUGCUACGGAAUCUCCGAAAGAAAAAAAAGAUGCUACAACAGUGUUCAGAGUAAAUAAAUUGAUAUGUGGGCUGGUUUAGUUUCCAACAAAUUUUGUAAAAAUUUUUACAUUCCUCGUUGCGUUGCGGUACAUAAUAUAGAUAUUAAUUGUAUAAUCUACUUGUAAUUUGUGAGAUGAAUUUUUUGAACCUAGUUAAUUUAUAAUUAGACAAUUAUAUUUGUCUAAUGAAAAUGCUACCGUCUCCAUUUUCUAAAAGAUUUUAGAACUAAACAAAGCAGUAAUUUCUAUUCACCCAAUUAAUAUAAAUCCUAUACAUCUAGCUUGUCUUACCUAAUGGAUUUUUGUUUAAAAAAUUUGACAAAUCUAACGCAUAAAAAUUUAUAGCUAAUUUCAAAUCCUAACACGUGUGGAUUCAAGUUAAUACAGCUGACACAACCAUUUACGUACACAGUACACCUACCAAAAUUGGUCUUCCAACGUCAAGUUUUCUCACCAAAACCUGCAUGUGUAUCCAACCGCCUGUAACCGUCAUCCGAUAUAGAUAGAGCUAAGCUGAUGGACGCCAACAGUGUCGAAGAGAUGAACAACAGUAAUGUUAGCAGGAAGGAGGGCCGGGAUAGGAGACUUGGAGAAGGGAAAUGGAAGAAGGUGGACAGAUUUCAGUAGUUUGGAAUGUUUCGUGUUUGGUUGCAGUUGGUAAACUUUAACUCUUGCCAUUUAACUCUUGCCAUAUUGAAUGUUUGGACAUAUGCAUUGAGUACUAAAACAUAGACUAUUUAUAAAACUAAAAACACAGCUAGAGAGUAAUUUAUGAGACAAAUUUUUUAAACCUAAUUAAUAUAUAAUUAGACACAAACUAUCAAAUAAGACGAAAAUGCUACAUUACGAGUUAAACUUUAACAACCCCAAUCAAACAUCCCUGAUUACAUUUCCGAUGGAACUGACCAAGAGAGGAUCCGACGACCCUAUCGGUAGCCACGGCCACAUAGGUGUACGUGUGUUGUUUCCUUUGCAUCGCAAUUUUCCUUGUUUGACUUGGCCCAUCCCCUCUGCAGUUCUAUAAUCAAGUCAAUGAUCGAGCUAGUCUAGCUUUACACAUAGUAUAGGAAAUCAUCAACAAUGUGCGAUCCAGCCUAGUCGCCUCGUCAUCUCCCUGUGCGACUGCUGAACUAGCAACCGCCCACCAAUGACGGAUGGUAGGUGUCGCUCUACGUCUCCACCGCGUCGCAUUGCCCUCGCUCUCGUGUGACUCUGCUCCUAGUAGCCACCCCCCUUAGGAUGAUAGGUGUCAUCUAGUUUGUGGAUAGUAAGGUGUCAUAACUUAACUUAUGUUACUGUUGUUAUUUUUAUGUUCAUUUUUAUGUUACAUCGUGUUCUCACGUUAGGGUAGAGAUAUACUCGCUAUAGUGCCAUUGUAGCCUAGGAUGCAAAGUGGAUCUUGUUUUUAUUCUCUCGCAUUUUUCUCUCCCCCCCACCCCUCUUCUUCUUCUUAAAAAAUGUUGGGGGGCUCUAUUUAGUGGGAGGUAGUAGCAAGGUUAGAUUCACCCUGACUAGCUAUUAAUUGUUGUGAGCAUGUAAUCAAAAUUAUUUAUGUGACAUCCUAUUUAAAGGAGAAUAAAAUUUUCAUUAAUUUUCACCGAGUAAUGAUGACCAACAUUAAUGGCUUCUUUUAGAUAUAUAAUAUUUAUGCUAUUUUUUUUAUAAAACUAGUCAAACUUGAAAUUACUUAACUCCCGAAAACGAACACGCUAUUAUUUUAGGAUCAAGGGAGCAUGUCAAAGCUUGGAGCCAACAAAUCCGUGUGUACCAACUUCAAAUAGAUAGUCCACAGUACUCCAGUAAAUAAAUUAUAUAAAAAGAAAAGUUCCAAUUGUAAGAUCGAUUCAUCCCCUGUCCAGCGUUCAAGCUAUGAGCACAAAUCAUCUGUAUUUUUUUUAUAACAACCUUUAUUGAUUUAACAACACCUUGCAGAGAAUAUGAGCCUACAACGUACGGCUGCCAAUUUACAUGGAUGAGUGCUUCCUUGACGGAACACUGAUGGAAGUGGACAGUGUGAUAUAAACAAAUCAUAAACAUAUUUAUAUUUCGCACAUUUUAAUAGUAUAGUAUAUAUAUAUACCUCAGCAUACGAAAUGGAGACACACACACACACACGCAAAAUCGACGAUGAGCUAGCCCUGCGGCGCGCACGCCCGGACCGCAUGCAUGCGACGCACAGUGAGGCUGGAUCGAUCGACCACCUGCACACACACACACACAUACGCGUGCAUGCAUGGAUCAGCCGCGGCACCCAGUGAUCUUGUUGCAGCCACGAUUGUAUUUGUUGGCCUGCGCCCCUGGGCGAUCAGAGAUGUCGCCGAGCUUCCUGUCGCAAGUGCCGGGGAUCUCGCACUCGGCCUUGCUAGCAGCCUUGCCGUAGCUGGCCUCGGCGGCGGCGGCGGCGGCCUCCUGCCCGGCCAGCAGCAGGCCAAAUAACAGCACCACGGCCAGCCGCGUGUUGUUCAUCAUCACCUUCUUCUCCACGGAUGCUAUAGCUUGCUGUUGUCUUUCAGCUAUAGCUCUGAUCGAUCUGCACGGGAAUAUAUAGUUAAAUUAAAGUUUGUUUUGUUUGCUUGGGCGAGGUAGAGAGAGGCAGACCAAGUGUUGUUUUAAUAGGAGGGUGGUUGUCUAAGAUAUGAGUGGAUGAGAGUGGAUUUAGCUAGCUAGUAGGGCGCUAGUACUAUGUUUAGAGAAAGAGAACACACUAGCUCGUGCUUAUUUUGGACGCGGGACUUAUUUGUCGCUCUAAAAUGGCGUGAAGCCUGCUGUACGUACGUUUCUUUGCUGCAUGCACUCGUAGGUACGUUGGCCUUGAACCUCCUUGAUCGGUGAACCCACCUGCAUUCUUGCUAGUACACCUAAAGAACCAUAUAGCUGCCACUCUCUGUUUAGACUUUACCUCAUAUAUACUUGUAUCCACUUCUAUCCAUGUGUGUGCUGAGGUGGAUUUGGUAGAUUUUCAUACGACUGAGCACAUAUUUUAUUAAUAAGAGAGCAAGCACGACCACCCAUAUAAAGAUAUACACUAUUAGAAACUCAAAUAUCACUGUGAGUGACGAAUUUUUCUAUGCGUUUUUUUGAUACACACAAAAAAUUAUAAAGUAUCCUCACAGAAAAAUGUGAAAAACCAUAGGGUAAUUGUAUGAUUUUUUGUGCGUGAUAAUACACACAGAAAAAUUACCAUUAUUCUGUCGGUUUAUUUAUAACUCACAAAAAAACUUAUACAUGCACAACAAAAUUGUAAUUAUUCUGUUGGUUUUUAUUUCACACAUAAGAUGAAAAUAUACGCGGAAAUAGUUGAAUAAUUAUAUUUAUUAUUUGAAAAUAAUAGCAACUAGCUAUUCUCUUUGUUUUUUACGUGUCAUAUUAGGGUUGUCCUUAGUUGAUCAUUUGUAUAUUUGAUCAUCAGUAAAAAAAAGAUUCAUGAUAUAAGAUUUAUGUUUUUAGAUUUCUUAUGAAAAAUAUUUUUAUAAUCUAUAAUUUAUAUGUUGUGAAACUAUAAGAAGUUGAAAAAACAAAUGGUUAAAGAUAGUAACAAUGUCACUUAAGACAAAGCUAAUAUGACAUGUAAAAAAGAAUAGAGGAAGUAAUUAUACUAAUGAAUAUACACUAAUACUAAUUUUAUCAUGAUAAUCACUAAUUUUAAAAUAAAAUAUGUCAAUUAGCACCACUGUCAGCCUAAUUGGCACACAGUGGUGCAUCGAUCAACAUAUAAGCACUUAUAAAAAAUGAAUUUUACCAUUAUGAAUUUAUAAUGACUAAGUAAUAUACUGGUAAUUUUUAAUUAAUUUAUUAGUACUAAAGAUAAGAAAAUAUGGACAUGUUUGUCUACUCCUAGUGUCUAGUACUAGAUUUGUGCGUAUAAACUCAUUUAACACUUGUAGAAAAUAUUCUUGUGUGAUGAAUAUUUAUGUCUGAAUUAUAUUAUGAUGAAUCAAACUUCUCUGAAUCGUCAUCUCCAAACCAACCCUGAAUGGCGAGAAGUAGCCGUGUUCUAGAAACUUGACAGAAUACGGAUUGGAACCUCAUGCAACUUGUGUUCGUACAGAGCCGUAUCUGAGCUGUGUUUUUGCUUUCAUCACCCGCUAUUAUCCAUUCUGCCAUGUGCCCAUAUUCAAUUGUGUCAGCUGACUCCUCAAACCUCCCACUGACGUGUGGGGCCGAGCCAGCUUACUCCGUCAAGCCGAGAGCAGAGCGGCGUCGCCCACUCUUCUUUCUCACCUCGCAGUCGCACGGAGUACUCCCUCCAAUCUCCAUCUCCCGCCGGCCUCUCUCGCUUCCUCCUCCGGAACUCGAAAACCCUCGCCUCGUGCAGGACUCCGCUGACGCUUCCUCCGCGCCGCUGGGAUGGCCGAGAAGCGAGGUGGGUCGGCCUUCCUUCCUGUCCCUGCGCUGUGGAACGGCUCGAUUUGGUGCGGAGUCGGGCGAUCCCUCCCCGUGCCGUAUCGGCUGCAUGAUGAUUGGCUUGGCUGAUCUCUUUAGUGCAGUUACGGGCGGCGAUAGGCGGGAGGAGGACCGCGCCAAGGUCGGGCUCCCGGCGUUGGACCUCUCACUCGCGUUCCCGCAGGCCACGCCGGCCUCCAUUUUCCCGCCGUCCGGUGAGUGCUUUAUUCCCUCAUUCAAUUUCGCUGGGAUAAGGAGUGAGGGGAUUGUGAUCUUUGGGCCGUGGAAUCGGGAGUGUUAGGAUUGCAGCGGUGGUUGUCUGUUCAGUUUUGUCCAGCUAUCCCCCCGGGAAUGGUACAAUUGUUUUUUGAGGAAAUGAUUGGCACAGUGAGAUGGGAAAACAUGCCCUCUUCUUUCAGUACCAAUUUCGACGAGACGUUCGUACUAGUAUAAUUGGCUAACUACCCAGUUACCUGGCCAUUUUAUCAUCUGGUACCGUUGUCUAGUUUUGGUAUUGUUUGGUGGUUUUCAUUGCAGCUCCAGCUGCUCCCUUAAUUAUUGCAUAGGCCCCAUUUAGACCAGCAUAUGCAGAUAUGCAGGUUGCUUUCCAAUUAAAUAGCAAUGCUUCUGAACUUGUACUCAACAGUUUGAGGCUUUUAGAGGGUUCUACAGUUAUGCAGAUAAGCAGUUGCAGUCCUAGUGCGACCCUGGAAUCAUGCAGCUUUCUAGAAUUUGUCACUUUAGAGCCGAAUUACAAUUACAGAAGCCUCGAUUUGGCAUGUUGCGAACAGAAAUAAAUAUUUAGUGUUUUGGUAGGCUCUUUCUUUCUUGGAUGGGUUGCUUUCAUAGCUUCAAUGCACAGCCACAAAUGUGCAACCAUGUCCUCCUCUUUCCCGACCUGUUUUGCUGUAAUUCUUAAGUAGCAGCACCCUGACAAUUUCUGGGCAGGUAUUAAACUACUCGACCUUCUAUGUGGCUCAGGGGGUGGGCCUUGUUUUCAAGAUUCCCCGUCACAUCGAAUCUUAUGGCACAUGCAUGGAGCAUUAAAUAUAGAUGAAAACAAAAACUAAUUGCACAGUUUGCCUGUAAAUCACGAGACGAAUCUUUUAAGCCUAGUUACUCCAUGAGUGGACAAUGUUUGUCAAAUAAAAACAAAAGUGCUACAGUAGCAAAAUCUAAAAUUUUUUCACAAAACAAGGCCCUAGAUAUAUAUGAUCCUAAUACCUAAAGUUCAGUUUUCUGUGCUAGUUUCCAUGGUUUUCGAUUACGAAAAUUCAAGUAUACUGUCUUAUCUAUUGGCUUAUAUGUUUGUACACCCUCAAUUGCAGCUUCGGAUUACUAUCAGUUUGAUGAUUUGCUGACCAGUGAAGAGCGCUCCAUCAGGAAGAAGGUCAGGGGUAUUGUGGAGAAAGAAAUUGCGCCCAUUAUGGCAGCGGUAUGUUAAAUUGGAGUAUUAGCUACUAGUCUGUCUGUAUACGUACCUUGUUACCCCAUCUUGGGUUAAACUAUCUGAAAACAGUUUGCUUAUGACAUAAGUCAUUGCCAAAUAUGCUUUCGUUUUUAUAUUACAUUGUCAGAUUGCAUUACAGUCUAUUUAUCCAUAAGUCACUUUUUUUUAUUAUAGUUGGGUUGACUCCUAAUGUCCUUAAAGCAGUUCCUUGUCAACCUUUUCUAUACAAUACCAUAAUCAUUAUUGAUUCGCUACUGCAGUACUGGGAAAAGGCAGAGUUUCCAUUUGAUGCCAUUCCUAAACUUGCAAGCCUUGGUGUUGCUGGUGGUACAAUAAAGGUAUUGAUUUUCUUGACAUUGCCAUGACCACUUUAUUUGUUAAUUACCUUUCUCUGUAUGGGUAAUAUUUAUUUGAAUGUACGGUUAGAGUCAAAUUUAGUUGAGCAAUUAUGUUAUUGGUUCUCUUCAGUACUUUAGUUUCUACUUUUUAGAAGAGUUCGUGCAAAUGGCUUCGACCGAUUAGUUUGCAUGAGCUUACUGUCGUCAAUUGCCAAGGCUUUUCAGAAUAUAUGAUCACUUACUAUAGUCUGUUCUUCUUUAACAUUAAUGCCUUUUUUCGCCUCUUUUGUGGAGUGUUGAAGUGUAUGGAGCUAUGUAUUAUCUACAUUUAUGUUUUAGUGCUCCAGUGUUUCUCAAGUUUAAUACGAGUCUUGGUUACUGCAGGGUUAUGGGUGCCCAGGACUUUCAAUUACAGCCAGUGCUGUUACUAUGGCAGAAAUGGCACGGGUAGAUGCAAGCUGUUCCACAUUUAUACUGGUGCACUCCUCUCUUGCGAUGGUGACAAUAGGUUCAAAAGCUGGAUUUCUUUUUAAUUUAUACUAUCUUGUGUUAAGAAGUUUUAUCAAUUACCAUUAUCAAUUACUCCGAAUGCUGGAGCUGAACUGCCCUAUCUCUUUCUCUCUUUCUCUCUUUAUGUUUUGUCUGAAGAACAGCCCUUUGUGGAUCUGAGGCACAGAAGCAGAAGUACUUGCCAUCCCUUGCUCAACUUACUACCGUUGGCUGUUGGGUAAGUUACAGUAUUCUUAGGCAUAAAAAUGUGUAACUGACAGAAUCUUUUCCUAAAAAGGUCUCUCUUCUGUAGGCAUUGACAGAGCCAAAUUAUGGAAGUGAUGCAAGCUCUUUGAGAACUACAGCGAGCAAGGUUAAGCUUUUGAUGCAUUUGGAUUUUGCAAGAAUCUAUAAAGGAGCACUUUCAAUACAGUCUGUACAAGGCUACAAGCUUAUUAUUUUGUUUCAGUUUAUUCAUUUUGUCUCUUGGCAUACCCUGGUAUAAGAUAUAGAUUUGGGGACAGCUAGGACAUUUUGUUCAUUCUAAUUUAGAUGGUAUUUGUGUUUACUGUUCAUUUCCUGCGCUUCGCAGUAAAAGUAAAGAGCAGGGUUAUAUACAACUACAAGAUUACUUGGAUAGUUGUAUUAAAUAGUUUUUGCGUUGAACCCUAGAACCACUGCUUUUGACAUCAUCCAUUGAUCUGUGUGCAUUUAUAGAUCAGAUAAAACACAUCUUCCUUGAAAAAGCAUUUGAAUCUAAAAAAUGAGAGCAUAAACUUCUCAUACUGGACUAAAUCCAAAAAAAUGUAGAAGGCACACAAUGUAAGCUGUGACCUCUUGGCAUUCAUUAUUUCUGGAUCAUUUUUUUAUUGUCAAGCACAAGCAGUGGUAUGCACCUUGAAGUGUUGGCUUAUCGUGGACAGGCACCUGGUGGGUGGCACAUAGAUGGUCAAAAACGCUGGAUCGGUAACAGUACGUUCGCCGAUGUGCUCGUGGUAUUAGCUAGGAAUGCAGAUACACAACAACUAAAUGGGUAAAUCAUCUUGCCUUGGACCAUCAAUGUACUUUCCUUCUGAAGCAUCCAACUGAUUAUGUAUAUGCCAUAUUUUCUUCUGAUGUGUUGUUUCAUGCAUUAAUUCUAUCUUCUUGUUAAGAAGUUUACAUUGAUGAGUUUUUGCAUUGCCUUGUUUCCUCAUUUGCGUUUGAUUGCUUCUAGGUUCAUUGUGAGGAAAGGAGCUCCUGGUCUGAAAGCUACAAAGAUUGAGAACAAAAUCGGUCUCAGGAUGGUUCAAAACGGUGAUAUAGUAUUUAAUAAGGUGUUUGUCCCUGAGGAAGACCGAUUGCCAGGCAUCACCUCAUUUAAGGAUAUCAGCAAGGUACUGCUGAUGACACUUUUCUGAUUUUGCUUCUGUUAUGCUCAUUUUUCUCUCUCCUGAUUUUAACUUCUGCUAUUAAGCCAAAUCACAAGCUCGGUGAUGUAACCUGCUUACCUACUUUCACUAUGCAAGCAGGUGCUUGCUAUUUCGCGCAUUAUGGUGGCAUGGCAACCAAUCGGCAUAUCGAUGGGGGUCUUCGAUAUGUGCCACCGGUACGCACCACCAUUCAAUUUGAUACUUUGUCACUGGCGAUAAUUUCACCUUGUACCUUUCGUCUACACCAAACAACAGGUAUCUGAAAGAGAGGAAACAGUUUGGCGUCCCUCUAGCAUCCUUCCAGCUGAACCAAGAGAAGCUUGUCCGGAUGCUCGGUAACAUCCAAUCGAUGCUCCUUGUUGGCUGGCGCCUCUGCAAGCUUUACGAGUCGGGGAAAAUGACGCCAGGCCACGCUAGCCUAGGGAAGGUCUGUCCGUCUGUGUGUGUGGACUUCAGCUGGCAGAUAUGCUCGUUUCUUUGCGCCGUCUUGGCUUCGAGAACUCAGUGGCUUAAUGACGCUUUCCUUUAUUCCUGGCUGUGUCUGCGUUUCAGGCUUGGAACUCCAGGAUGGCCCGCGAGGUGGUUUCCCUUGGCCGAGAGCUGCUGGGUGGGAACGGAAUUUUGGCUGAUUUCCUUGUGGCAAAGGUAUGCAGUGACCUAUAUCGAAAGUGCUCAUGGCUAGUUGUCUUUUUUUUGCAGUGGUGGUUUACACAUCAACCAACCAUCACCCUCCUUUUUUUUUUGUUAAUAAUUAUUACUGUCACGAUCUUGUACAGGCAUUCUGUGACCUGGAGCCAAUUUACUCGUACGAAGGCACAUACGACAUCAACAGCCUGGUGACCGGCAGAGAGAUCACCGGGAUCGCGAGCUUCAAGCCCGCCGCCGCGCUAGCCAAAGCCCGGUUGUAAUGUACUGUAUACUGUACAACGUAAACCACCUUUGCAGUUGCAGCAGGGAUAUUUUGAUGAAAGUUACCCUCCCCCAAUCCGCAUGUUGCAAAGUAAAGCACUGGAAGCGAAUAUAAAUCAGGGAUGAGGUCGCCGUCGUCACUGUUGCGGUGGCGGUAGAACAAACCGAGGACGUUCCCUGAACGUGCCUGGAAACCGCCGGUCAGUGUUGGCUGCUUCAAGAUGUACUACUAUUGUACCGAGUGAGUCUGAGUCUGGAUGGGAACAAAUUCCUGUAUAUGUAAAUUUUACUCUUCUGGUGGAGGCGGCAAAAGAGCACAGAGAUAUUUUGUUUCAGCACGACUGAAGCUAAUCUUGCUGUAUUCGCCGUUUUUGCUACAGAUGGAAGGAGAGAGGAGAGGAGGGGGAACACCAGGCAAAAUUGGUGUGUUUAUUGUUGUUGUGUUGGGUACCUUGUGAGCCUCAAUCAAUGAACAAAAACAGGUGCGUUUUACGCGUAGUAAGACGACUCCUCUAGAAGCUAUCAUAUCUCGGCUAAUCAGGCUAGUUGUUUGGGUUUAGCGUGGCUAUCAUAUCUCGGCUAAUCAGGCUAGUUGUUUGGGUUUAGCGUAGGGCGAGAGUGACCUGACACUCACAGCACAGCUGCAACAGUACCAUACCACACCAUCCAUCCCAUAUUCGCAUCUAUGGCUAUUUUGAGUGCAAGUAGGCUGGUAGCUUUAUGCAGCGCCAGGCAGCAGGCGUGCUGCAGCAGACCUGCAGAGCCGGCCCGAUCGAGGGCGAUGCCGAUGACCUGCAGAGUCUUUUACGUUUGCUGGCGCAUCGUGUGAUGAUGCGUGGGAGGGAGUGGUAGCUGCGAAAGCGAGUUGCGUUUGCGUGACGGCCGACCUGAGCUGAGACCUCCAAUUAUCGGUCCAUCCAUCCAUCCAUCCAUCCAAUUCUAUCCACGAGCUCUUCUCUCUCUGGUGGCUGGUGACGGCUGGUGAAGGCUUUCGGGUCCGUCCCCGCGGGGCCGAGUCGGCGACGACGGCUCCCACCGAACCUCCCCGACGCGGUCGCGCAGGCGCACCCAAGCCAUACACGUGACGGGGACGGCCCGCCCCUCGGAUUCCGGGGGUGUGCCGGGUGGGGAACGGACGGACGGACGGAUGGAACGGAACGGGGGGAGACUGCGCGGAUUUUUCACGUGGCGAAAAGGGCAGCAGAACCCACCCAACCCAAUGCGCGGUCCGCGGGUGCGGGGGCUCGGUCUCGGUGGGACCGGGACGGCACGGGUUCUCUCUCUCGCUCGGCUGCCCGCCUGCCAUUGGCUUGGACGCGCGGACGCCUGCCUGCCUUUGCCUCCUGUCACGUGGGCCGUGUCCCGCCCACGGCCCACGUUUCCCUCCCCUUUCCCGCUUGCGGUGCGGUUGCGGUGUCGGUCCGCUUCCUGACCGUCGCUCACUGCCGCGCGGGUCCACUAACUGGCUGGGUACCGCUGGCCGUGGUACAGUACUGUAGUAGUACAGCCGUACUGGAAGCAUUUUGUAUCGUUUUCUUCAGCCUGUAGCCUCGUCUCAAGCUGUUAGCUGUAGCAGCACGGCUCUGUGCCAGGCAUAUACCGUGUUCCGUGCUGGAAAGAAAACUCUGCAUUACGCGCUCUCUUUCUUUUUUUUUAAAAAAAAAAACAAAAAUACACUAAUAUAUAAUACUCCUGACUAGGAGUAUUGUAGAUGCGAUACUGUGUUGGGGGCUGGCUGAAGCACGAGUCGUGAGCGAGCAGCCGUGGUGGACAGUGUCGUAGUACGUGUACGAUUGCCUUGUUUACCGAAAACUUGUGCAACUAUGUGCAAGCGCGAUAGCCAUGGGGCCCGUGCCGUGAGCCCGGGGCAAACGCGAGGAAUUCGGCUCUCUCGGGACUCCCCCCCUGUUCCAGACGGGACUUGUCGAGUUUGUCAUCGAUCCACCAGCGGUCCGGAGUCAACCUGCCAGUCCGCGCCUGCCGCGCUCAGCUACCCCACGGUCUUCUGCUCUGCUCCUGGCGCCGGACCGGCCAAUCGCAUUCUCGCCGGCCCUCCCCUACUGCCGGGUUGGAAUCCAAAGCUGUGCGUGAUCGUGUUUACACCCACAACGAGUACGAGACGUGGAAACCCAACACCAAAAAGGCCCACUGUCCUCUCCUCCUCCUCCGCACGGUAGUAGUCCGUCCUCGCAUCCCAUGCCGAAAACGAAAUAAGGGCAGGAAGCCACCAGCACCACACCACCCCACCCCAGCUUGUAUCGUGGCGGGCGGGCGUGCGUGCGUGCGUCCGUGACACAAUGACGGACCGGCCCGCGCGCGGCGCCAGUCAAACAAGCACCUCUCCAUCCCCUGGUCCGUUCACGUCUUACCCCAUCAUCUCCUCCUAGUCUAUCCUACUCGUAUAGUAUAGUAUAGUAUAUACACGAUACUCCCACCACGUGCUACGCCCAUCCAUACCAUAUAUACACCGUAUACCAGCACGUGUCGACUCGAGGAAAGGGCCCCUCGGUCCCACUGACCCGUGGGCCCAGCGGGGACUCUUCUAGUAUACAGAUUGCGGGAAAAAAAAAGCUUCACGUACAGUACGCUACUCCGAAAGCAACUUUUCGUUAUCCUUCCUCCCGGUCGUAAAGACGAGCCGUGGGUCCCGGGGCCCACACCCAGCCAGCCAGCCAGCCAUCCAGAUACACACGGAGCCGUGGUGGGGCCCGCCCGCCCGCGUCCCGUCCCGUCCCGUCCUGGCUUCCCCCCACUUCCUUCCCGUUCUCCGCCCGCCCGCCUGCCCGCCUGCCUGCCUGCGGCUAUAAAUAGCCGGCGCGUCACCCUCCCCGCUCCGUUCCCCUCCCGGCCUCCUCUCUCUCUGCUCUCUCUCUCUCAUACGGACAAAUUCGGCUCGCCGCUUUGUUUACAGCGGCGACGCAAGCCACGCAGCGAGCCGCGGUUGGGUUGGCGUUGCGUCUCCCCUCCGACACCGAAGCUUCCUCCGGGGACAUCUCCCUUCCUCCCUCCGACCGCCCGCCGCAACCCAAAUCGCCGAUCUCCACCGGCGACGUUGCCCGGCUGGGCCUCGGCUUCCGAUUCCGUGUGGCGACGGACCGGAUCGGCCCGAAGCGAGGUACGGCACCUCGAUUCAGCUGUUUUCCCUCUGCUUCUCGCGCGAUCGGCGGUUUGGUCCGGGUCCGGGUACUCGUGUAGUGCCCAGGAUUCCCCAGCCUUCGCCGCCGGUGUAGGGAAUUGGGAUAGGCCCGGUUGUGGUUGUGGCGGCACAGGCGGCGAUUUGACGCGCCGUGAUCGAGGGACAUGCGAGGCGUGCUUUAGAAAUGUUGAGCCGUAGAGAGAUUUUCUGUUUUGCUUCUUCUUCUUCCCCCUGUGGGAUCGAAUCGGCCGAUGUGAGUUCCUUGUUGUUUAUUAAGGGGAUCGUAUGAUUACGGAUACAAGAUUUUUUUUCUGGUAAACCAUCAAGCUACCAUAAUUGUUUUCUGGAUAGGGUACAAUUAAUAGAAUGAGUCCGAGUUUAAUUCUGCAGCCAAAGUUGGCUUUUUUUCUUUACUCAAAACAUGUGGUUUCUAUUUAGGGGAUGUACUCCUGACCUUUUUUUUGGUCUCCGCAACCAAGUAAUGUUGUGGUACCUAUUCAAUCGGAGUAAUUGUUCCCCAUUUCCAUGUUGUGUGGUUUCCAUUUAAAUCUUUUUUUUUCAUUUGUGUGUGUCGAAUCAAAUUCCCCGAAAAAAACAUUAUUUAUGUUGAAAUGCCUGUUAUGAUGUUUACCAUAAUCUGCGACUUUGGGCCUACUGUUUCGAUCCAAGUUACCCCUUGGGUAUGUAGUCUCUGCUUUGGCAUCUUGAGUUCCAUCGAUGAAGAAUGUACUAACUCCAUAUAGAUGGGUCAGAUACGUGUUUGCUUUUGUUUUACUUGAGCACUCGAAUAGGAUGUGGAGAUGCUACAGUAGGAUUUCCUCUCGGAGCUCCACCAUUUCGAUACCUCUGGAGCACUUGUCAUCGAUGUGGAGCUCCACCAUUUAGGAUGUGGUGGUGGUGAUUUUGCUACAUGAGACAUCUGAUUUUUUUUUCUUCUGAAUGUUGAAUGCUGCUGUCGAAUCUGAAUGAUGUUUAAUGGCAUUGUUUGGUGGUCAUUUAUUUGGUUGGUUAUGUGAUGUCUUGAUUAACCCUGUCCCCUUGAGGACUUACAGAUUAAUAGUACAUUUGCUGCCUUAUCACCUUCGUUCUAACCUAUUUUUGUAUUUUGUUUAUAGUGUAAACAUGAAUCUGACAUUAUCAUUUGUAGGAUGAUGUUAGGCUGUUGUGAAUAUUGGUAAGUCAGAGUGAUUAUUUAGUAUAUCCUUCAACACUUUUUUGGUUAUGAACUUGAUCAUGCAUAGGGAAGGUGUUUCUAACCUCUCAGUUAUGUAGAACUGGAAAGCAAGAGCUGAUACACGAGAAAAACUGCAGCUUGCCUCCAGUUUUGCGUGCUGAUUCUGAUUAAUAUUUGCAAGAUGAACCUUAUCCGAAAGAAAUCCAAGCUACUUAUCUGUUCAAUUUGGAGUGGGGUGGAUUUACCAAUGAGCAGAGGAAGGGCAGAAGCGCACCCGCCAAGAAUUUUAGGAAUGACAUAGUUUGGGGCCUCUGGGCAUGUAUUGCUUGGAGCAUUUCUUCUUUCAUUUCCAUCUGCCUUUUCUGUUCUUUGUAUAUUUUGUUUCUUUUGUGCUAUGUAUAGUAAAAUUAAUUUUAUUUGAUUUGUUAAUAAGAAUGUAUGAAAAGUUUGGAAGGAAUAAUGUGAUAUACAAUGUGGUUGUAAAUCUAUUUUAUAUGAGUGCCUAUUUGUAUAUAAAAAAUGGUUAUUUUUUUCUAGUUUCUGGAGCCUUUAUGGUACACUUGAAAUUCUACUUGACAUUAUCACAGGUCAUUUUGCGUUGUUAGGUUCCAUGUAGCUGACUUUUGAUAAUUUCCCUUGUCAGUUUGUAUCUAGUACUAUCGUUGUGGGAGAUAAGGACACUUUCAAGUGCCAAUAUCUGUAUUCCGUAGUGUAUUUACCAGCAGUUUACCUGUCAAGGGAUGUAUACCUUAUAGCGCAUUUGCUUGUCAAUCAAGGAAGAAUAAUUUGGACUGCAUAUAUUUCACAAUGUAAAUAUCUCAUAAAAAUAGUGUUUCUUCCAUAUGUUUUGUGUGACUUUUCAGUUGUAUGAAUUGAUUGAAAUUCUGAAUCCUUGUGUUGUUUCAUCUUGCUGUCCAUCGAUGUGUUCAUUCAGAAAUGUGUUUUUCUAUCCAUGUAUAUUGAAUAUGGAAUGCACUUUAAUGAUUUUGGUACUUUUUUUUGUGAUAUCUUAGGCACACAAUAUAUGUAGUGCCGCAUUGGUGACAUAGCAAUAUUGGUGACCUAGCAAUAUCUUAGGCACAUAAUAUCAUGGCAAUUUAUGCUUUCAUUUGGGUCUUUAACUCUUAAUGUUAUGUGAUGCUGGAUUAUUGAUAUCGAUUUUGUUUUCCAUUUCCAGAUUAUUAAGGGCUGGCGCACCUGACUUCUUGUUUUAUGGCUCGGAAUAACCAGGGUCAUCUCCAGCUGCCAGAGAUGGAUCAUAUUCAACCCAAGAACAUCCCACACAAUGAAUCACUGCCUCUAGGUAGGUGCACUGACUCCAGUACUCUAUACUUGUGUAAAUUUAUCGAAAGUUGUGAUAAAAUAAAUAACAUUUCUUGUUCUAAUCUCAGGCCAGAAGCUUCUACUGCAUCAUGGAAGUGAUGCGCCCCUUAGAAUUGGUCAUUCUACUCAUGGGAAUAUGGGACAUAGAAUAAAUGAUCUUCCAUCUUCAAGUCGCACUGUGCAAACUCUAGGUUAUAGAGUUGGGAACCCAGGAACCUCACACGCUCCCUUUGUUCACUACCAUGCUGGAAGUUCCAGUAGCCAUUUACCAGCAGAACCUGCUGUGGAUUAUCUACAUAGGUCUGAGGAAGGCUUUGCUCCAGUGGGUUCCCAUAUAGACAACAGAAGGGCUGCAAUGAAGCGAAAAGAUCCCAGUGUACACCCUGCGGGGAUCAGUGCUACUGGUUAUUAUGUUGGAAGUUGUUCCAAUACUCAGCCAUCUAACUUUGUGCAGCCAAAUCCUGCUCCACUUGCUGAGCCCUUGCUUCAUCAAAUACCUUUAAGCAUUGACCAAAGUGGUUGGGAUGGCCAACACUUAAUUCAUCAAGAAGGAUUCCAGAGGAAUGUGAGAGCACGCCACAGUCAUAAUAUUUCAUUAGAACCCAGAUCAGCUUCAACCUACCCACUAAACAGUGCUCACAUGUCGUCAUUUGGUUCAACUGCAAGUGCUUCCUCAAGUACAUCAGUCGAAAGGAACCAAGCACCUGUUUCUCUGCCAACAAGAACUGUUCCAUCAGGUUAGUAUUUGAUGCUUAGUUAAAUAUGCUUGAUUAUCUAAUAUUGUUUUACAUGACAUGGUGGAAGCAAACUUGAUCCUUCAAAGUUUGGUUAGGAGCUGCUUUCAUGAGUUGAUUUAAAACAUGAUGCAAUACAUGUCUUUUGAGUUUGAACUGAACAAUCCAUUUCGUUUUAAUGAUAGCAGUUUCUGUUAUUGAUUAGUUUUACCAUUAUUCAUACUUACAGUGCAGAAAUUUUUAUGGUUUUGUAGGUGCACCAGGUAUCACUAGCAGGGCCCUGACAGGGAGGGCCUACUAUCCUGUGGUUGGAAGCAGCAGCCCAAGUGUUGGUGCUGUCCCAACUAUCCAUGGAUCAUCUGGCACUGCAAUAUUUGCUAAUGGUGGCUAUGCUCCUAGUACUGCUCAUACUGGAACUGUUCCUAUCUACCCUAAUGGAGCUCCUGCUACUUCAUCUGGCUCUAGAGCCAUGCCCCAUCAGAUGGUCAUUCAGAAUCAUCCACAUGCUACCUCUGCAGCAACCUCUACAUCCAUGCGUGACAGAAUUGCUGCGGCUUCUAGACAUGCAAGACAUGUAUCAGUAGGGCAUGCUAACAAUGGAAGGUACAGAAGGGCUAGGAGCUCUUACUACAGUCUUCAUCCAUUGAUGGUAGAGGCAGAGGUACAUAGCUUUUUCUUCCCUGUUUCAGUGAAAGCUGAGUUGUUGUAUAACUUGAAACUGAUAUUGCUGCUGUUUGUGUAGCGGUUCAUGAUGGACCAGUUAGUCUUUUACGAAUCAAGAGCAGCAGCUGCUGACCCCCACAGGGACAUGAGACUGGACAUUGACAACAUGAGUUAUGAGGUAAGGAGUACUGCAUUUUGCUCCUCCAACUGUCUUGCUCUGGAAAUUUGAAGAUUUCUUCUAACUAAUACUUCAUUGCCUACAGGACCUGUUGGCUUUGGGAGAAUCUAUGGGUAACGUCAGCACAGGCUUGGCUGAUGAAAAAAUUUCGAAGUGUGUGAAAGAAGUGGUCUGUUGCAGUUCUGGCCAGAUGCAAAUUGAUGAAGAUGACCAAGAUGAUGGAAGCUGCAUCAUUUGCCUGGUACAUUUUCUCAAUAUAAUUCAUGUGUAAUCUGAUACCUAAUAAGUUAAUAUUAUAUAACGUUGGACCAAAACUGUUGAAUUCUAUUUCUGACCGAUGGAUGCAUUCUGACAGGAGGGUUACAAAGACAAGGAUAUGCUGGGGAUACUGAAAUGCAGGCAUGACUUCCAUGCCGACUGCAUCAAGAAGUGGUUGCAGACGAAGAAUUCAUGCCCGGUGUGCAAAGCAGCCGCUGCUUAGGACAACACCAGAGGAGCAAAGCAACUAUUGUGCUCCUCGAUCCAUUCAUUUUAGGCUCAGAUUAAAUUAUGCCAUUUCAUUCUUUUCGUCCUGGCAGCCAUGUAAAUAAAUGCUCUAUGGUGAUUAAUUAGUUAUCUCUUGGGUUACAUUAGCCUGAAUUCUUUUGUUGUAUUGUAACAGUCUAGUUGUGAAAGCAACUAAUCAUCAAUCAAGUGGUUAAAAGCUCAUGUCCUGGUUUUCGGAUUCUCCGACACUUGAAAUCAGUUGCGAGGUACUUCUCUGGUGCCAGCCUUACCUAGGUGAAGUUGCAAUUGAUGGUGGAGUUGCUUAGGGGCAACCAUUGGUGCUUGGUAACUUCGGAUUGAAGGUGUUUUUUCCCCUAAGAGUUCCAUUGAUUAGAAGCAUUAGAAGCAUCUUACAUGGAUUACGAUGUCGUAUGCUGAAGUGAACAUCUGCAGUUGGUUGCUACAUGAGAAAAUAACGGAGAGAUUUAGAGCGUUCCUAGUCUGAUGGGCUAUAAUAUGUGAGGUCACCUAUUCUGGUUUCUAUGAAUCUUAAAGACUUUGUACUCCCUAGUCCCUACAUUCCAAAUCAUGACACAUUUUGGAUUUUUAAAAUUCAUAACUUUUGUUACGCAUCUAGAUAGAGAUUAAAAACUAUUGAAUUUAGAAAUGCCAAAAUGUCUUAUAAUUUGGGACUGAGGAAGUAAGUUGGUUGUAUCUGAAGUAUGAUGAUUGAAGUCCUGAAUGGUUGGGAUGAGCACUGUAACAGAUAUAAAUUGUGUGGGCUGGUUGGACCUGAGUCUUGAGAAUGAAGAACUGAACUUGAUGGCCUGCGACCCUGUUCUUCAUUCGCGUUUGACUACUGGAUGCGCCUGCAGACUCUGUUCUUUAUUCCCGUUUUAGACUAAUGGAUGCAGGGACUAAAAAUUAACGGAUGUCAUAUCAAAUGUUACAUAGGAUGUUAUAUAGGGUAUUCGUAUACUAAUAAAAAAAUAAAUUAUAGAUUUCGUCAGUAAUCCACAAGACGAAUUAUUUGAGUCUAAUUAAUCUACCAUUAGUAAAUAUUUACUGUAGCACCACAUUAUCAAAUCAUAGAUUAAUUAGUUAUGUAUGUGUCUAAACAUCUGAUAUGAUGGAAGCUAAAAUUUAACACACGGAACGAAGAAUUCUUCUUUGUUGUCGGCCCAAUCAGUUCUGCUUGUUUUCGGCUUCUGUAGCUGUGUUUCUUGUGUACUCUUGGUAGGAUUUUUAAUUAAGCCCUUCCAAAAAAGACCUUAGAUAGACUAAGCAUUCUUGUUUGCUUUAGACCUGAUGUGUGGUUAUGUGCGUGUAUGUACUCUACAUGGAUGCGGCACCAUGCUGAUGGAGACGGUUGGAUCGGAUGUUAGCAUCGUGGCAGGCUGAACUGCCGAAGAACACACCGGAACCCAGCCGUGCGAUGCAUUUCGAUCCUAGUCGGUUUUUUUUUUUUGUUUUGUUUCCCUGCCAAGCUGAAAGAAUCAUUGUUGAACCAAUUCCUACUCCCCCCAAGAAAUAAAACGUUAGAUGCAGAGGCUAUUCACAAUGACAGAAAUGCACCUCAGCUGCUCGUUUACUUUUGUCCCCAAAAUAUUCCCUGGCGUCAGAUCUCAUCGUUCAUGUGCUGGUUCGGUGACACCACUGGACACUGGACAGAGUGUCUUUGUGGUGAGCAACAGGGGAGCUGAGCCUUGGUAGAUCCUAACCUGCACUCAUUCAUUCAUCUAGAAAUAAUACCACUGGAUCUAGCUAAGACUAUCUCCAACAAUCGUCACCCAAAAUACAAGACUCAAUCGUCACCUAAAAUACAAGACUCAUUUGUCUUUUGGGUAGCGCUACAGGUAAAAAGUCUCAUACCUAUUUUUAGUCUUCUCCAACAACGAGACUUAAAAGACAACACUCUCUGCAAAUGGGUCUCAAGGAAAGAGGAUACCGAAAUUUAGGUUAUGCCUCUCCUAAUACUCAAAAUAGGUGUAUUCAGUUGGAGAGUAUAGGUAUCGUGUUGGGAGAUUCUUGGCCAGGAAUCGUUCCACUCAUUCACGGUUAUACAAAUUUGACUAUCAUUCUUGGCUGGAAUUCCAGGCCAAACGAACAACCCCUAAAUGAGGACUGGAUUGAUCUAGGAAGCUAUCUGAAGUUAGUUGAAAUUUUGUUUUCUUAAAAAAAAAAUCAACCAAAUGAAUUAGGCCCAGGAUUAUCCAGACAAGGAUGUGAUAGCAAAGGUUGCUACUUGCUCAAGAAGUGAACAACUGCAGAGAAAUCUUGUCCUAAGCCGAGUUACCCCCCUUGAAUGGAAGGAAACAAGAAAAAAAAAAACCCGCUACCAAUUUUCAGUCAGAACUAUAAGUCACCUUUUUUUUUCUGAGGGAAACAAGUCACCUGUUCUUGUUGUUUUUCAUGAGGGAAACAAGUCACCUGUUGUUUUGAGUUGUCUAAUAACAAACUCUACCCAAUCAUGAUUUAUGAUGGAUUAUCUAUCCCUGAUGAAAUUCAUCCGGAGGGCUAACAUCAACCGUCCUCCUCGUUCACUCAUUUGUCCCGUUCCAUGUUCCGUUAAGGCCUUGUUUAGUUCCCAAAAGUGAAAAGUUUUCGAUACUAUAGCACUUUCGUUUGUUUGUAACAAAUAUUAUCCAAUCAUGGACUAACUAGGAUCAAAAGAUUCGUCUCGUGAUUUACAACUAAACUGUGUAAUUAGUUUUUGUUUUCGUCUAUAUUUAAUGUUUCAUGCAUGUGCCACAAGAUUCGAUGUGACGGAGAAUCUUGAAAACUUUUUGGUUUUCAGGAUGAACUAAACAAGGCCUAAGCUGGCAAGCCUUUGUUUUUCAGCUAAUCAGCCCUACCAAAAACAACAGCCUAUCACUGACCCUGUCACUCCCCCACAAAGGCCACAAAUCAGCAUCAUUACCACCUUGUGAUCGUCAGAAAGAUGAGGAAAAUUUAGCCCCCUGCAAUCUGAAUUAUCUGCACUUGCUGCUGCUUGAAGCAAGCAUGGCUGUUAGGCUGUUCCACCUCGGCAGCUCACCUCACCUCACCGUUUGGUGCCCUGUAACUGUAAGACUCACCCCCACCACCUUCUCUUACAGCUCACUCUUCUCCACCCACCUCGCUGCCUAUAAGUGGCAGCGUCACAAGCCCCCUGCCUCACCGAUCCACCUGCAUUUGCAUUUCCAUUUCCAUGCACAGACUUGGCAAGUAACACGUCGCCGCCCCAUCCCAUCAGCAGCAGCAGCAGCAGUCACCAUGCAGAGACUCGCGCGCGUCCUCGUGGUGCUCGUCGUAGCCGCCGCCACGGCGUCGGCACAGGGCCCGACGGCGGCGCCAGCGACGCCCACGCCGGCAACACCCGCGGCGCCGGCGCCCAAGGCAGCGACAACGACGACGACGUCGAGCAACAUCACGGGCGUGCUGGCCAAGGGCGGGCAGUUCAACACCUUCAUCCGGCUGCUCAAGUCCACGGGGGUGGCGUCGCAGAUCGACAACCAGGUCAGCAAUGGCGGGAACGGGAUCACGGUGUUCGCGCCCACGGACAACGCCUUCACGUCGCUCCCCGCCGGCACGCUCAACUCGCUGUCGGACCAGGACAAGAACGCGCUGGUGCAGUACCACGUCGUGUCCACCGCCAUCCCCAUGUCGCAGUUCGACACCGUCAGCAACCCGCUCCGGACGCAGGCAGGGAGCGCCUCCCCCGGGGAGUACCCGCUCAACGUCACCUCCGAGGGACAGCAGGUGAACAUCACCACGGGUGUCGUCAACGCCACCGUCGCCAACUCGCUCUACUCCGAAGACAGCCUCGUCGUCUACCAGGUCGACAAGGUGCUGCUGCCGCAGAAGCUCUUCGGCGCGGCGGAAGCGCCCGCGCCCGCGCCGCUCGCGCCGGCCAAGAAGAAGGGCAAGACGCCGGCGGCCGUCGCGGACUCGCCCGAGGCGGAGGCGGAGGCGUCCCCGGACGCGACGACCGCGUCGCUCGCGCCGGCGAGGUUGACGACGGGAGGUGCCGGCCUCGCCGCGGCUCUUGCGCUCGCCGGCGUGUGGUGGGGACUGUAGGGACGGCGAUGAGGUUUACGGCCGUGACAUCCAUCAUGCAUGCCAUCUUUUUGUAUACUUUUUUUUUGCAGGUCUUGUUGGUCUUUUCGUGCCCAUUUUUGGAUGAAAUUAUUCUUCCCUGCCCUUGAAAUUGCUAGGAGUAUGUCUUGUAAUGGUUAAUGUAAUGUCGUUGUCUCAUUUUUAUGUAUUUCCACUAAAUAAAUAUGAGUUGCGUAUAUUUCAGUAUCCGGUUCUAUUUAAUUCAGUGCCUAACGCACACAAACAUGAAACCACAACUUUAUCAAAUUGGGCCUAGUUCCAUUAAAAAAAAUAAUCACUCGAACAGUAUUGAAGCAGAUACAUUCGAGAGAAACACAAUUCUUUUUACGAGAUCCUGCAAAUAAUAACUAUUACAACCUCUCUCGCUAAGAAAAAUAAAAAGAAAAGGUAGCAUUACAGCCUGUAUAAGUGUACUCCCUCUGUCCUUAAAUGUUUGUCACCACGGUUUGCGUAUCGACAACUUUGACUCGAUUUAUAAAAAAUGUUUGCAACAUUUUUAUCUCUAAAUAAAUUUAUUAUUCAAAUAUCUAUCCAAUGAUACUAAUUGUGUAUCAUAAAUAUUAUUAUUUUUUUAGUAUAUAUUUAGUUAAAGUUAUUUCUCGGGAAACGAAAACGACAAAUAUUUAGGGACGGAGGGAGUAAGAACCAAGGAACAAGACAUUCAGUUCAAUUUUGUCAAAACGCACAUCAAUCAAAUCAAGAAGGUCGCAGUGAGCUUUCCAUGCUCGAAGUCCUUGCAUGAGCAUUACAGCAACAUGGAACAGAUACCGAUUGCCCAGCUCUUCAGUUGUAUAUAUUAUUGAUUCAUUAGGGAACAUAUCCCUGUCAUCGCCACCGGUUGUUGAAGAAUGUAACAGGAUCCCCAAAUGUUGUGGUAAGCAUGUCCUUAUGUUUUCCUCCAUAUGACAGUCUACCAAGAAAACUUUCUGCAGUGAAAGUGGCAGCUUCACAAUUCCUAAUGCAGGAGAGUCUUGCGUUGGUUGGCUGAUAAGCCAUGACUUAAAGUACUGUUCGCUGAUUUAUUGUGAGAGAAAAAUACUGUUGAACAGAUAAACUCAAACGAACAACUUCGCACCAGCAGAUCAAGCAGUUGUUCCAACUGGUGGAAUUUGGGGCCUUGAGAUGCAAUCUUUGAGAUGCAGAUGUUCCAAGUUUCUGAAAAUUGCCAAUGAUGGUGAAACUUGGGGUUGGGACCAUGAUGGAAACUUGGUCCCUAGAAAACCAUGAAUAAAUGGUGGGUCAGAUUUGGUGGCGGCACAAGAGUUUCAUAAAGUGCAGUCAUAUUUCUCUGGACUUCACUUGUCCCAUGAAGUGCUUCUUCGGAUAUGCUCCUGACUAUAGUGCAGUAAGUGACAGUUCCUUUAACCUUGUCUUGUCCUUCAGAAUUACACCUGCCACUUUUACUCUUUCAUUCAAGCUUAUCGAUUCGGAGAUGCCUAAGCUGCGAGAGGCUUUGCAAUGCGUCCAGCUUGAAUCCAUUAGAACUUUCAAAAACUCCCAUGAGCAUGUCAAGACGGUGCAAUCACCCAAUUCCAUGUGGCAUCGAAGUAAUCGCAAUCUCAUUGAUGUGAAGAAACAUCAGGUUUGAUAGUCUGCGAUACUAUUAGGCAACACCCGAAGCUCACUGCAACCCAGCAACGGAAGAUACUGAAGAUUUGGAAGAUGCCCUAUUGACUUUGGGAUUCCCUGGAGUUUUGUGAAGCUGAGAUUCAGAACCCUCACAAGCACCAAAUGAAGCUGGGAUUCUCUGGUGGUAUAUCUGCCCUAACAACAACUUCUGACAAAGAAUGAGUCUGACAGACGUCUACAUUAGGAAUGCUAGUAUGCUCAUGGAUAAUUCUAUCCAACCUAAGCAUAACUCUGUCCUUCAAAAUUCUCUCAAGUCUUUUGUUAAUGUCCUUAAUUCUAUAACCAAUCUCACAGUUGAAUUGAAAGUCUCCAAGACAAAAGAAGGAUGGGGCUCUGCGGCAUACCCAUUGGUUCAGCAUAGAGGAUAGCUGCCUAUAGGAUGAUCUCUGGCUCUUGACAGAUCAGAAAUCAAUCAGAUCAUCAACAUCAUACAUGAUGUCUUUCAGCUGGUUCAGCCAGGUGUUGAUGGCACUAUCAUGGAUCCUCUUCACCUCAGCAUCAACAAUUACUCUCUUCAUGUAGUCUAAACGACAUUUGAGCACUUGAAGAUGUUGUACUACAUCAAGGGCUCUCAUCACCCUGUCUUCAAUCAGAUCAGCUAACUUACUAGUGUAUCCGGCUAUGACUGCAUCUGCGAUCAACACCAUCUUGUAUUCUUGUGUGGGGGUUAGUUGAUUCCUUCUGAGACUUGCCAACAAACAGAAGGCUCUCUGGUCUCAAUGCUAGAGAUGAAAUGAUAAUGUCAACAUGUUUAGCCUAAGCAUCGCAAAAGGCCAUAUAUGCAACACUCACAAAAUAGUAGUCUAGAAUCUAGAUUGUAGACCAGAGAUGAAGUGCAUGUUUACAAAUCCUUCUCUCGUUUUAUGCAUAGAAAAGAAGAUAAUCAUGUUCAAUUCCAAUAAAAUAUCAUUACAUGUAGCUGUAAAGUGUGUUGACAUUCAUGUCCAAUGCUAGAGAUGAAAUGAUAAAAAAUGACAUGGUGUUUCAACGAAAGCAUAUUUUUGGGUACCAUACUGUGUUUGAAAGUACUAGUACAUAACCUAUCCCGGUGAUGUAUUCAUUUGGAAACAAAAGGCAGGCAGGUUCCUUUCAAAAAAAAAAGGCAGGCAGGUUCAUCAUUGCAUCACCAUAUAUAUCUGGGUCCCUAGAGCUGAACAAGUUGCAGAGGAGGUGAGAUUGUAUUAUCUGCGACUGGUGCAGUGAGAUUUGGGGGGCAAAAUACAUAAACUAGCCAGCAGUAGUCUCCCAAGCAGACACACCAUUUAGUAUCAAUAGUUUUGCUUUGAGGAUGCAACAACUAGUGAUGAAGACUUUGUCCACUGCACGCGGCAACAAGAACACGAGAUGUUCCACUGGCAGUAGGAUGGAGCAGGAAACAUGGGUGAAGAACUGAAGAAUUUAUACGUACGCACCAUUCAUGACAUCCGUGCAUCCCUGUAGAAGAGCAUCUCUCGCCGUCAUUCCAUCGAACACCUUUCAUCCCUGCAGAAGAAGGCAGGCAUACACAGGCUGACAGGCAGAUUGGCUGAAGCAAAGAGGAGCGAAUCUGCGAAUGAAACGAAACUAGCAGAAGUGGGAGAAAACGAAGAGGGAUACAUGAAUUCCUUUGACCUGACCCUGGCUGGCAGGCGCCAGAUCGGUAGCCACUCGCCAGCGCGUGGUGUUGGCCCAGGAGCAAGACAAGAACCCUGAAGGCUAUUCACUAUUGUCCAUGGCAGAGGAGAUUAGGGCCUUACCCAUCCUAAUGAAUAGUGAUGACGCGAUCGCGGCAAGAGGGAGGGAGAAAACAAAAAUAAAUACUCCAUCCGUCUGAAAAUAGAAAUGGCGGUUUGACUUAGCGUGGAAAUUCUUCAACCCUUGUUUAGCUCCAAAAACUUUUACAAGAUAUACAUUGUAGCACUUUCGUUUAUAUUCGAUAAAUAUUAUCAAAUUAUGAAUUAACUAGACUCAAAAUAUCCGUCUCGUAAAUUAUAGGUAAACUGUGUAAUUAGUUAUUUUUUAUUUAUAUUUAAUGUUUUAUGCAUGUGCCGCAAGAUUCGAUGCUGAAAAACUUUACAAAUUUUUUGGAAACUAAACAAGGCCUAAACUCUCGAAAGUCAAGACUCCUUUUAAUGACCUAGCUACUUUGUCAUGUGACUGAAAAGUAAAUGGCCUCCCUAUUGAUAUUUGUCCUCCACUCAAAAAGUUGCCUUGUUUAGUUCCUAAAAAUUUUGCAAAAUUUUUCAGAUUUCCUGUCACAUCGAAUCUUUAGACGUAUGCAUGAAGUAUUAAAUAUAGAUAAAAAUAAAAACUAAUUGCACAGUUUGGUCGGAAUUGACGAGACGAAUCUUUUGAGCCUAGUUAGUCUAUAAUUGGACAAUAUUUGUCAAAUACAAACGAAAACAUUACUAUUCAUAUUUUGUAAAAUUUUUUGGAACUAAACAAGGCCUCGGUCACUAAGUGGUGCCACACCCAUAACCCAUCGGUUCAGCAUACUACAUCCUUCUCAAACUCUAAAAUCGUAAAUUAACCUUCCUGCACAGGUUCAAAUUAGUUUUGAAAACGGUUUCAUCCUUUUUAAUUAAAAAAUUAUAAAUACUUGACAAUGAGAUCUUUAAAUCGCAUAAAACGUCUCCAAGUUUCUAAAAAAAUUGACUAAAAUUCUAGAGAUAGACUGGGAUAUGAAAAAUAUAAUAAAAUACAAGUUCACGUGAAAAUAAUUUGAGAAGAUUUCAGAAACUAGAUUUAGCUUUAAAGGCCAAAAAAUCUAAAAAACUAGAAAAAUCCAAAACAUUCUAAUUCAUGUUUGAAAACUUUUCACAUCAAAAAACAUAAGGCACAGCCAUUAGGAAUGCAUGGCCCAAAUGCAUUCAGCACUAAGGUAUGUAGCGUCAUGCCGGUUGCAUCUAUCUUUUUUUUUGCUAUGAAAAUUUUUAAAACACAUUUAGUUAAUGACUCGAAUUUUUUGGGAGAUCUUUUUUUGGGAUAUUUUUUUCCUUUUUCUUAGAGUAAUUUUGUCAAGCUUCUAUACAUUUUUUUUUUGAAAACGUGCACCGCACGUACCUCAUUAAGAGAAGAAGGAAUGAUCAGUUACAUCCCGGCAUUCCCUAUGGCGAGAUGUCUAAGGAUACGCCGGAAACACACUUACACACAAGGCGCCGGCUUCUAUACAUAUUUUACGGUGCUAAAUAUUUAACUUAGGUUUUUUUUUCAUAUCCCAAUCCAUCUGUAAGAUUUUCUUUGAAAGUUUAAAUAUUUUUCAUGGAUCCAAAAUCUUAUCAACUAUUUAUCAUAUCUCUACAUUAACUAAAAAGAAUAAACCGUCUUGAAAACCACUUCAUUUGAGAGCAGAGAGGUUAUUUGAACAGUUUGAAUAGUUUAGAAUUUAGCUGGCGGGGGGGGGGUGGUAACAGAUCACGACAAAAUUAGAGAAAUAAAAUGAUUUUUAUUACAUGUGGGUCUUCUUUUUCUUUUGAUGAGGUUGGAGUGGAGCAGAGUGAAAUUACGAUAGCAGGCCCCGCUCCCUCCUGCCCACCGGACGAACCUUUUUCUUUCUUUUGGGACGGCAAAAAUACAUCGGGAGCACUGCAGUCUGCCUCGUACCGUAGGAGGAGUGUGUGUGCACUGCACUGCCUCCGCAAUCCGCAUUGUCGGAAAGCACCCAUUGCGGCAAAAACUGUUUUGCCCUCGUUCGGGAUUUCCGAAGCGCAUUGCGUCGUCGUCACGCGGUCACUCACGCCCGCCCCUGGUCUUGUGAGUUUUGUCACCUCCCGCUACCACCCACCUGCACCCACGGCUCAACCUAAUUUUCUCUAACGUCAUUAUAGAAGUAGGCCUUGUUUAGUUCCUAAAUAAUUUUACAAAAAUUUUCAGAUUUUUCGUCACAUCAAAUCUUGCGAUACAUGUAUGAAGUAUUAAAUAUAGAUAAAAGAAAUAAUUAAUUGCACAGUUUACCUGUAAUUUGUGAAAUGAAUUUUUUGAGCCUAGUUAGUCCAUGAUUAGACAAUAUUUGUUAAAUACAAACGAAAGUGCUACAGUAUCCAUUUUGUAAAAAAAUUUGAUACUAAACAAUGUUGUAGCAGUAGAAGUUUUAAAACAGAAAAAGUAUAGAAAAUUAUGAAAAAAAAGAAGGGAGGGAAAUAAUAUAAACAAUAAUCCCAAAAGUUCUCGAUAAUCGAGUAAUCGUACGCAUAAACAAAUGCUGAAAAGUCAUAGCUGAAAAUAUUAUUUGCUAAUUUAUUGUUAGAGAAAAAUAUUGCUGAAUGUACGGUGAAUUUGACGAAUAAUUUUAAACGAAUGGGCAAAAGACCAGACCGAAGAGAAUAAGGACAGACAUGGGAGGGGGAUCACCUGAUGAUCCACCAAUGGUUUUGUUGGUUUCUGCCGCGGGCUAUGCCCCCUCACGUGCCAAACGAUAGGCCAAUCGCAGAGCAGUAUUCAACUGCUGCAUGCAGCUGCUGGUUUUGCUUCCUGUUGUUUCCCAUGUUCCUUCGGUCUCAAGGAAGGAAACCAAACCACCCUUUCAAGUGCACUUCACCUGCGCCUGCGAGUGGACUCUCUUCAGUUCCUCUAUGUUUUUUUUUUCUUUAGGGCCUGUUUGAAACAAAGGCCUUGUUUAGUUCCCAAAAAAAUUUGCAAAAUUUUUCAGAUUUUCCGUCACAUCGAAUCUUUAGAUGCAUGCAUGGAGUAUUAAAUAUAGAUGAAAAUAAAAACUAAUUGCACAGUUUGGUCGAAAUAGACGAGACGAAUCUUUUGAGCCUAAUUAGUCCAUAAUUGGACAAUUUUUGUCAAAUACAAACGAAAACGCUACAGUGUCGAUUUUGCAAAAAAUUUUGGAACUAAACAAGGCCAAAGGAAUGGAAAACAGAGGAAAGAAAUAAAAUAUAGGAAAUAGGUAAGAGUGAAAUGGCAAAACAGAGGAAUAGAAAAACACAGGAAACAAUCAAAAAAAGGUGUUUGGAACACAGAAAUAAAAAAGAGAGGAAUAAAAAUAGCACAUGCAGAAAAUAUAGAUGUAUUAUUUAGUAAGAAAGCACACAUAGUUUAACGAUCUCCUGCUGACGGGACUCGUGCUUAGUAGAUUGGUUAGCUUGGUGUCAUUUUGCUUUUAUCGUAAUUAAGUUGUGUCUGAUAAAAGACCUCCACACGUUGCAUCCAUCCACCUGCUCCAGCUCCAGCACCUCGCCUGGGGCUGGGCGCCCUUGUUCUACCACCGCCGCAUAGCAUCCCACCGCCCAAGAGAAGCAGACGCGCACGACGUGCUUGUAGCAUGAUGUCGUUCGUGCUUAUAGGCAGCCUAUGAAGAGGAAGAAUGCAGGGCAAAAGAUUGGCUUGUGCGCUAAGCGUGGCCGCGAGCACCGCAGAAAAUUUUCCCUUGGCUCUGAGCUCAUUCUUUCAUUCCUCCAAAAGUACUACCUUUGUUGCCGUUCCUCUGGAAAGAUUUGUCCGAGUUCCUCUAUUCCAAACACGCAUAUAGGAUUCAUUUCCCCUGUAACUCAAUCAUCCACUUUUUCUACGUUUUUCCUCUGUCCCAAACGAGGCCUAAUUUGAUCAGGUCGGUUCCUGGUUCCUCGAUGUUACUAUUCACUCUGUCCUAAUAAUUCGACAAUAUAUAUAUAUAUAUAUAUAUAUAAACAAUAUUAAUAUUCCGUAUCACAUACUAUACUAAAUUAAACACUAUUAAAUUCAAGUCACUCCAACCAACAACUUCAUCAUACGUACACCAAGGGCUUGUUUGGUAUAGCUCAACUUCACUAGUAAAGCUGUUUUUUUAGAAAAUAGUUUCAUGAGUGACUUUCUAGAUGAAGCUGAGCUGUUUUGGAGAAAGUGUUUCGCAAAAUAGCUUCACCAACUACUUUAUGCAUAGUUGAGAGAGAGAAAUGAGGGAGAAGCUACAAUAAGCUACUUUUUUCCAGCUUCAUCCAACUUAUGUCUUUGUGAGAGGAGGAGAAAAACAGCUUUACCCAUGAAGCUGUUUUGGAAAUAAGUAUUUGACAAAAAAAAACACCACGCCCCAAGUUGGUGGUGAUUUUAUACGGACGUCGGGUCGCUUACAUGUGGGGUCCUCCUCCUCGAAACCCAUCGAGUUCCGAGCCAACGUGACGACCUGACGAGUAAUCGUGAUCCAGAGCCUAGCCAAAGGAUAGCUUUUGGUGCAUGCACGUCAUGGCCUCAUGGGCUCUCAUCCGCUCAUGCCCGUGGCCCGGGGAAGACGCCGCCGUACCGGGAAAUGGGCACGGCAGCUCCGGCUUAAACUACUCGCCAUCCACUUGGUUGCCGGCUGUACGCCUCUAUCUGUCUCUAUAACUGACGGCGCGAGUUGCGAACAAGGCCGUGAGAAAAGAGAUGACUUCACCUUUGUUUUUUCACCUAGGUCGUGUUUAGUUGUAAAUUUUUUUUAAAUUUUGACAUUGUAGCAUUUUCGGUUGUAUUUAAUAAUUAUUAUCUAACUAUAAAUUAUCUAGGUUCAAAAGAUUUGUUUCGUAAAUUACAGAUAAACUGUACAAUUAGUUUUUGUUUUCGUCUAUAUUUAUUGCUCCAUGCAUGUGCCAUAAGAUUUGAUGUGAUGAGAAAUCUAAUAAAAAAAAAUUGGGUGAACGCCUUGUUUAGAUGUGAAAAGAUUUUGAAUUUCGUUGUUGUAGCAUUUUCGUUUGUUUGUGACAAAUAUUAUCCAAUUGUAGACUAACUAAGAUCAAAAUAUUCGUCUCGUGAUUUACAGAUAAACUGUGCAAUUAGUUUUUAUUUUUGUCUAUAUUUAAUGCUUUAUGUAUGUGUCGAAAAAUUCGAUGUGACGGAGAAUCUUGAAAACUUUUUGGUUUUGGGUGAACUAAACAACGCCUAAACAAGGCCACAGUACGAUGAUGACGUGAUGAGUACGAGUCCAAACUGAUGAGAUAAAAGUACAACAUAUGUAGAGAUCAUACUCGUUCCAUGCCGAAUUACAAGUCAUUUUAAUUUUUUUAGAGAGUAAAAACUUUUCAAGUUUAAUCAAAAUUAUUUAAAAAAUUAGAAAAAUUUGAGACAUCGAAUAGGUAUACUAUGAAGAUGUAAUUAAUGAAUAGUUUUAAUAAUACUUAUUUGGUAUAUUAUUUUAUUAUAUAAAUUUGAUCAAACUUAAGAUACUUUGACUCUUUAAAAAUUAGAAUGACUUAUAACUUAAUAUGAAGGAGUAUUAUGCUGCAUUUUUUAUAAGAAAAAUCACUAUGUUGUUUUUUAGAAAAAACAAAGUUACUCUGAUGCAAGCUUGUCUUAUGUCUGGAUAAUUCACUAAACUAACAUUUAGUUUGAUUUUUCAUUCAGUCUAAUGGACCCUUCUACAAGUUUUGUUAUAUCUAUUUCUUCAUGUGCAAGCUGAGUUUUAACUUUAAAUUUUGUAAGGUGAUAGAGAACACUAUAACUUUUUGAUAAACACAUUAUGAAUUUUCAUGAUUAUGUUUCAUAUAUAGUUUUAAACUUCUGGUAUUAAUUUACUAUUAGAUGUCCUAGCAUGCCAAAAUAAUAACUAAUAAUAUAUAUUUUAAACAUGAAUUACGAUAUUAGCUGACACAUCACAAAAUUUAAAUUUUAAAAUCGACUUGUAUGUGGAGAAACAAAAGGAAAAUCCCUCAUCAGUAAUGCAACUAUUUUUAUCAACAAAAGGAGGAAGUUCAAUAUUAUUUUGACCCCCUAAAAAAUGAAGAAUGGAACUAUAGCUAUAAGCAAAGAGGUUUGGUAAAUGAAACUACCGAAAAUCAACUUCACACGGCCAUUCUCACCAAACAAGUUAGCAUAACAAAACUAGAAUUAGGAGUAAAAAGUCUUUCCUUUUGCAGUUUCAACAAAAUAAUUAAACGUUACCUUUCUAUAUGCGUAUAACAAUUGAUAACCGAUAUAUUUUCAUUUGACCAUUGGAUGUUGCGGGAGGGGUCUAAUAUUUCAUGACAAAUGUUGACUUCAAGUGGUUUUUGUUAUGUGGGAUUCUCACUUGGUAGUGACGAUGAUGUAGGUUUUGACAAAGAGAAAUAUGAGAAAAUAAGCCUACAUGGAACAACUAUAAUCUCUAUCAGAUACUUUAAGGUUGUUUUCUCACAAUCACAUAGAGAUUAUGGGCGUGAUUGGUACCCUAAAUGCGCCCCAUGCUAGCUCCUCUGAUGCACUUUCCCCGCGCUUGGUUUCUUGUUGCUUUGGGCCUAUCUCGGCUGAUGCAAAAGCUCCCUUGUGGCUUGACUCGCCAGAAACGCAACAGGGCUUCGUUUCCUCGCAGCCUGGCUAGCACCGUACGUCAGGCGCAAGUAGGUUGCACGCGUGAGAGAGCUAGCAUACACGUGAACUGCCCAACCGCUCACCAGCUAUCUAUAUCCUGGUUGAACACAGAUAUCAACCAAACAAAUACCCAUGCACGCAUUGGACGAUAAGAGUUUGGUGCUAUAGGUAUAAGCCAGGCUUGGCUACGCAAGGAACCAAAUGCGCCGUAUGAGGGCAAGAGCUCCUGGUGGCGUCUCUAAGGAAUUCUGACAUAUUACAUGACUCGGCUUUUCAAAAGACAGUGCCACAUCAUCAUAAUAGAUUUUGACAUCCACUUGUUUUGACAAUUUCUGUUGAUUUCAAACAUAUUUUGAUGUAGAACCAAUGCCAUCACAAAAGGGGGUCAUUCUCACCAAAUAAGUUAGCAUGACAAAACUAGAAUAUAGGAGUAAAAAGUGUUUCCUUUUGCAGCUUCAACAAAAUAACUACACGUCACCUUUGUAUAUGCAUAUAAUUGAUAAACAAGAUAUUUUUAUUUAACCAUCGGAUGUUGCGGGAGGGGUCUAAUAUUUCAUUGCAAAUGUUGACUUCAAGUAGUUUCUAUUAUGUGGGACUUCUGAGUUGGCAGUGAUGAUGUAGUUUUUGACAAAAGAAAUAUGAGAAGUUAAGCCUACCUCAACUUGCUGUGGUGGAAAUAAGUUAGAUCAUGCAUUAUACCACUCAGAUUCAGUAAUCUUAAAAUCCAUUUUCAGUGUUGUUUUUUUUUGCUCAAUGAAAAAAAAUCCUAGAUACUUGUAGGUUAUUUUCUUAAUGCAGGUCUCAUUGGAGACUAUAUGAGCGUAAUUGUUAUCUUGAAUGCACCCUCGACCCAUCUCCUCUAAUGCUCUUUCCUCGUGUUUGGUUUUCUGCAUGCUACUUUGGACUUGUCUCAGCUGACGCAAAAGCUCCCUCCCAGCCUGGCUCGCUAGAAACACAAUGAGGAGUCGUUUCCCGCGGCUUGGCUGAUGUUGUGGUCGGCAUCCAGGUUGGACUCGUGAGAGAGCAGGCGUGCAUGUGAACUGCCCAACCGAUCACCAGUUGUCUAUAUUCUGACUCUAAACACAGAUAAACACCCUUGCAUGCGUCGAUCUUGGCUGGAAAGGGCCUGGUGUUGUAGGUACGAACCAAGCUUGGCUACGCAAGGAACCAAAUGCGCCGUAUGAGACCAAGGACCCCGGUGACGUCUCUAAGAAAUUGUGACACACUACAUGACUUGGCUUCCUAAUAAAAGACAGUGGCACAUCACCAUAAUUUUGGACAUCCACUUAUUUCAAUAAUUUUUGUCAAUAAUUUUUGACGUGGAACUAAUGUCAUCGUAAAGCUUGUCUCUUUGGGCCCUGUUGUUGAGUGCCAAGCCACCACACGCCACGCAAGAUGUGGCGUGACCAUGCAUAGAAGCUAUGGCGUCAUGUGGCGAGGAAAGUGGCCGCCAAACCUAUGGCGAAACCCAACACACAAAUACUAUGUGCCUAUCUCAACGUACACGCAGCCCAAACAUCGGCCAACCUAUCGUGUCAGCCACGAGUGUGGUGUUUCGAAUGUUUGCGGGGAACCGAACAACUUCUUUAUCUACUAUAUACAGUAGAAAUGAUUAUAACUAUUUUUUCUAUAUAAUAUAUCUAUAAAAAAAUUAUAUACUGACGGAGCGUAUUUACUCUAGCUCAACCUGCAGUACUAGCAAAUUAUUUUUUUUUUUUGAAAGAGUCAGUACUAGCAAAUUAUGUCAUCCUGAAACUUGAGAAGCCCACAGCCCCCAGACCCAGGGGUGAUGCACCCAGGCACGGACCAAGAAGCUAACGACGUCGCAGAUAAAGAUUGCGUGGGUCCCACUCGAUGGCCAUGCUUACAUGGAGCGUUGCCGACCACAAAACUUUUCUCAAGUAUAAUACAUGGUUUUCUAUAGGAAAAUAAUUUUGAAAAAAAUGUCAAAAAAGUAUAAAAAAAGAGAGUAAAACCGAGAGAAAAGAGCGCCGGGCCCCACGCAAUGGCCGACAUGGACCACCUUUAUAACGGGCCCCGCCCACCGCCAACCAAGCCACAACGCCCACCGCCAGCCAGCAGCAGAGCAGAGCAGCCCCAGCCCAGCACCCCCACAGGCCACAGCACAUCGAUCGCCAUGCCCGCCACCUUCCCGCCGCCGCCGCCGCCGCCGCCUCCCUCUCACAACCUUCCUCCGCUGCUGUCUUCCAACGAGUCCUUCUCCAAGUUCUUCGAGUCCUGGAUCGGCGAGCAGUCCCGCGACCUGGAGGAGCUCCGCGCCGCGGCGUCCGCGGAGCCGGCCGCCCCCGAGGCCGACCUCCGCCGCCUCGUCGACCAGGUGAUGGGCCACUACGCGCAGUACUACAGCACCAAGGCCGCGGCCGCGGCCGGCGACGUGAGCAUGAUGUUCACCCCGUCCUGGACCUCCACCACCGAGAACCUCUACCUCUGGUGCGGCGGGUGGCGCCCCACCGCCGCGAUCCAGCUGCUGUACACCAAGUGCGGGAUGCAGCUCGAGCACCGGCUCCCCGUCUUCCUCGACGGCGGCGGCCUCAAUAAGGACGACCUCAGCGACCUCAGCGUCGCGCAGCUCCGGGCCGCCGACCAGCUGCAGCACCGCACCAUCAGCAGGGAGCGCGAGAUCGAGGAGGUCGCCGCGACCGCACAGGUGAGUGAGUAAAAAUAAAAAAAAUCAGCGGCACUUUUUUUCUUCCAGAAAUGAAAUAUCCAGUGAGGUCAACGAGGGCCGCAUGUGCAGGAGGCGCUGACGUCGAAGACGAUGGUGGAGCUCGCGGGCGGCGGCGGCGGCGGCGGCGGCGGGAUGGACGCGGGGGCGAUGGACCGGGAGAUGCAGACGAAGGCGGAGGGGAUGAGGCAGGUGCUGGAGAUGGCGGACGGGCUGCGGCUCGAGACGAUGCGCGAGGUGGUGGCGCUGCUCCGCCCCGCGCAGGCCGUGCACUUCCUCCUCGCCGCCGCCGAGCUCCACCUCGCCGUGCAUGACUUCGGGCGCCGCAAGGACGGGCACGCCGGCAACGCCGCCGCCGCCGCCGCCGCGCCGCCGGAGUGACGCUGACGCGCCUGGCUGCUCUGCUUUGCGUGUAUCGUGUAAUGGCUCCCCUGUUCCAAGCGGCGC
rnacentral:lncRNA from 1 species